GAGUACGGCCGCAAGGCUGAAACUUAAAGGAAUUGGCGAGGGAGCACUACAACGGGUGGAGCCUGCGGUUUAAUUGGACUCAACGCCGGAAAACUCACCGGGGGCGACAGCAAUAUGUAGGUCAGGUUAAAGGUCUUACCUGAAUCGCUGAGAGGAGGUGCAUGGCCGUCGUCAGUUCGUACUGUGAAGCAUCCUGUUAAGUCAGGCAACGAGCAAGACCCGUGCCCACUGUUACCAGCAUAUCCUUUAUGGAUGAUGGGGACUCUGUGGGGACCGCUGCUGCUAAAGCAGAGGAAGGUGCGGGCUACGGUAGGUCAGUAUGCCCCGAAUCUCCCGGGCUACACGCGGGCUAUAAUGGUUGGGACAAUGGGUAUCUACUCCGAAAGGAGUUGGCAAUCUCUUAAACCCAAUCGUAGUUCGAAUUGAGGGCUGUAACUCGCCCUCAUGAAGCUGGAAUCCGUAGUAAUCGCGUUUCAACAUAGCGCGGUGAAUCUGUCCCUGCUCCUUGCACACACCGCCCGUCAAACCAUCCGAGUGAGGUAUGGGUGAGGGCACGAACUUAGUGUCGUGCUCGAACCUAAAUUUCGCAAGGAGGGUUAAGUCGUAACAAGGUAGCCGUAGGGGAAUCUGCGGCUGGAUCACCUCCU
rnacentral:rRNA from 1 species